GGCCUUUUCGUCGUGGGAUGGAAGGUAUAGAGGUGUGCCAAGAUUGAUGUGAUGCUGAAUGAAAACCUCUGGAACCAACUGUCACUUGUUGAACUAAGCAACACAAGGAGGCUAUGAUGUGGGGAUGUCUUGAAUGUUGUAAAUAAAUAAAUUUAAAACCUG